rnacentral:ribozyme from 11 species
GGAAGGUCUGAGAGAAGAGCGAGACCACGCUCUGGUAGGAGGACAGGUAGCCCAUAUGGUGCGGCUCCAGCGAGUACUUGUCCGC